rnacentral:misc_RNA from 1 species
CAACCCUCAAGCGCGGCUUGCGUGUUGGGCGCCGUCCCUGGUGGACGCGCCCGAAAGGCAGUGGCGGUACCGUGCUCCGGUGCCCGAGCGUAUGGGCUUCAAACCCGCUCUGGUGGCCCGGCCGGCGCUGGCCUCGACCCUCAACUUUACCA